AUACGGAGGGCGCAAGCGUUGCUCGGAAUCACUGGGCGUAAAGGGUGCGCAGGCGGUUUAUUAAGUCAAAUGUGAAAGCCCAGGGCUCAACCCUGGAACUGCAUCUGAAACUGGUAAACUUGAGUAUGAGAGAGGAAAGUGGAAUUCCUGGUGUAGAGGUGAAAUUCGUUGAUAUCAGGAGGAACAUCAGUGGCGAAGGCGACUUUCUGGCUCAUAACUGACGCUCAUGCACGAAAGUGUGGGUAGCAAACAGGAUUAGAUACCCUGGUAGUCCACACCGUAAACGAUGAAUGCUAGUUGCACGGCUCAUCUGCAUGCUGUGUGACGCAGCUAACGCAUUAAGCAUUCCGCCUGGGGAGUACGGUCGCAAGAUUAAA
rnacentral:rRNA from 1 species